UACAGGGGGGGCAAGCGUUGUUCGGAAUUACUGGGCGUAAAGGGUCUGUAGGUGGCCAACUAAGUCAGACGUGAAAUCCCUCAGCUUAACUGGGGAACUGCGUCUGAUACUGGAUGGCUUGAGUGCAGGAGAGGAAUGCGGAAUUCCAGGUGUAGCGGUGAAAUGCGUAGAUAUCUGGAGGAACGCCGGUGGCGAAGGCGGCAUUCUGGACUGUAACUGACACUGAGAGACGAAAGCCAGGGGAGCAAACGGG
rnacentral:rRNA from 1 species